CUACCACAUCCUCUUCCAUCCUCUGCCCCAGUGAGACGCCAGCCUGCAGGUGCCAUCGCCCUCCCUUCAGGGUGAAUUCUCGCUCAGGCCCUACCUCCCAAUUCAGCCUUGUCAUCUGGCCUUACCAGGACCUCUCCGGACCACCAGCAGGUCCAAGGCUGCAAAGUGCACGACUGUUCUCUGAACGAUUGAAUGCCUGAAUGCAUGUAGGUCACUGGCAGCCUGGUGUUCCAGGGACAGGAGACUUGAGAGGAGGGUCUUCCUUCUCAUUCUCCCAUUGCACUGCCUGCUCUGCAGCUGUACCCUCAGAUCCUAACACAACACCUGGGACAUGGUAAAGUGUUGAUGAAUGUUAACAGGUAAGCAGGUUCCUUCACUUAUGAGCAUGAUACCUGGCCAGGCCAUGUGUGGCAGAGCAAAGAAGCAUCUGAGUGACUCCUUUGCCCCAGAUCACCCUCAGCCCCAGAGCCUGGCUCUCAUGACCAGGAAUCCUCCAGGGCAAACUCCCUCCAUUAUUCAGCUCUACUCCUCCUGGCCCAGGAUCCAGCUCAGAGCAGGGGCUGAGAAACCAUGGAGUUAAGUGAGCAAAGACACUGUUUUGACUCUGAUGAAAAGUCAAAAGCAGAGCAGCCAAUAAGCUAGAACAGCUAUCUGGCUCUCUUUGUCUCUCCCCUACCUGGAUUUAUCCUCACUUCUGGGUCCUUCCCCUCCUUCCUUCCUCUUCCCUCUCCCCUAAUGUUUACCUCUGGUUCAUAAACUUGCUCACAUGUUUCCCCUCCAACCAUGGAUUAGCUUAGAAACAAAAAUUAGCUCUUAGUCAUGUACGCAAUGUAUGAACAGGAUGACUACUGGCAAUAAUCAGCAUAAAAUAAAAUUGACAAGGGCUAAAACACCCCAUGGUAGACAUUUUCAUCGACUAAAAAUUGACCAAAGCAUCAAAGCUUUUCUAUGCUGAUUUGCCAAAUAUGACCCAAGAAACAGCCUUGGUCAAAAUAGUGGUCAAGGAAAGCAAGGCUACAAUGGCAGAUGCUAUCAGGAGCCAAUUAAACAACAGAACAAAACUCGAUUCAGAAACCAAGUCUUCAUGGUGAAAACAAUGACUUUGACUGAAAUAAUUUUCAAUAAGAUUUGAGAAAAGAUAAACGAAAUUAAAGAGGGAAAUGGACCAAAGAAGUCCAUUAACUUUAAGGUGCUAGCUUUGAAAAAUAUUUUUUCUAUAAAAAUUAAUUAGUAUUGAUGUGAUUCUUAUUAAAAUACUAGUAACAGCACAAUACAAUGCCCAGACCUGGGGUGCAGUGGGGGAGACAUGGAUGAGGGGGCUUGGUUAACCCACGUGCUGUCUCUUACGGCUCGCUCUGAACCACUCCCACCCCUGCUGCCUGUGACAAGCUGGCCCAGUUCCUCCUGAUUUGUAAUCAUCACUGUCUUACCAGUGGUUUUUGUACUUCCAAAGCAGUUAAGUUUUUACACUAAUCGCUGCUUCCUUAAUCAAUUAAUGAGACUUAAAAGGUCAUUUAUCAUUGGAAAUUACAACCGGAAUCACCAGAGCACUACACUGGCCCACAGAUGCUAAGGAACUGCAUCCUAUAUUGAUAAUUGUACCCUGGUUUUAAUGAGAUUCUUAUUAACAUAUACAUUAUUAAUUAGACCGUUAAUGCAGAUGUCAUUUUGAGUCACACCAGGAUUCCCGAUGGCUCACAUGGUUAUUAAACCUUACUAAUUUGCACAAGGAAUUAAUAUUAUAUUAAAGGUUCUCUCCACCGUGUAUACUAAAUUAAACGCUUACUUUUGGCAUCUCACCCACUGCAUCCACUCACACUUGUUAAAGAGAGGGAUAAAAGAAAAGCAUUUUCAUCCUAAGACUUGAGAGCUAGCUUCCUACUUUGCAAGUACCUUGGGUGUCCGCAGGAAGAGAAGGAAGGGAAGGCAGAAGGGAACCUACUGUUCUUUAAUUAGCAAGGUUUCCCAGUGCAUCUAAAAUAGAAUAUUUAAAUUUUUUAUUAUAAAGUAUCAUUUAUUCAUUGUAAAUAAUUUAGGAAAUACAUAUAAGCAAAAAGAAAAUUUUCAUCACCUAGUCUCUCAGCACUCGGUAAUUACCUCUCUGAACUUUCUCAUGUGCCAUUUUAGCCUAUUUUUUAAUGCACAAAUAGACACCCUUUAAUGCAAAUACAAGAAUAUUGUGUAAGUUGUUUUAUAACCUGCCUUUUUAAAGUUAAUAUUUCAUGAACACUUUUCUGUAUCAUUAAAUGUUCUAGAGCUUCAUGAAUUGUCAUGUUAUACAAUCUCUUUUAUUUUUAAACUGGCUGUGGGCUGGUCAGCUUAAUAGGUCAACUUGGUUAAGCUAUGGUACCCAGUUAUUUAGUCAAACAUUAAUCUAGUAUUGCCAUGAAGGUAUUUUGCAGCUGUGAUUAAAAUCCCUAAUUAGUUAACUGUAAGAGAGAUUAUCCUAAACAAUCUGGGUGGGCCUGAUCCAAUCAGCUGGAAACCUGAAGAGCACAGCUGAGGCUUCACUGAGGAAGAUGAGCAGACAGAAGCUUCAGUUCAUGCCCAAGAGAUCCAGCCUAACCUUCCUGGUGGCCUGCCCUAGAGACUCCCGUUACCAGUGUCGUCCCCCCACCCCCGUUAUGUAAGCCAAUUCCUUGCAAUAAAUCUCUUGAUACAUCUACUGGUUCUGUUUCUCUGGUUGAACCCUGACUAAAGCAAACUGUGUAUAUUUUAUUAUA